AGAGUAUGUGUUUCCAGGAUCAAAUGUCUUAAUUUGUGACUUUCACAGAGAACAGGCUUGGGAAAGAUGGUUGUCAAAAAUCACUAACGGAUGUUCCUCAGUAAAAGAAGUAGUUAAGUUAAAAUUUCGUCAAAUUGCUAAUUCAAAAACAGAAGAGAUUUGCAUAAAUGCUGUAAAUGCUUUCAAAGAGUCAGAAGAGUGGAAAAAUCACCCAAAACUUCGAGAGUACUUAAAAAACACUUGGUUAUGCAACCAAAAGAGAUGGGUGUUUGCUUUUCGGCAACAUCGCCUUUUGCGAAAUGUCAACACAAACAAUGGUACUGAAAGACAGAACCAAUCUCUAAAAUACAGCUUUUUGGAAAAAAGGAAAAACUCUUC